AACUUUCAGCAACGGAUCUCUUGGCUCUCGCAUCGAUGAAGAACGCAGCGAAAUGCGAUAAGUAAUGUGAAUUGCAGAAUUCAGUGAAUCAUCGAAUCUUUGAACGCAUCUUGCGCUCCUUGGUAUUCCGAGGAGCAUGCCUGUUUGAGUGUCAUUAAAUUCUCAACCCCUCUAGCUUUUGCGAGCUGUGACGGGGCUUGGAUGUUGGGAGUUUGCGGGCCUUUCAAAGGUCGGCUCUCCUGAAAUGCAUUAGCGGAACCGUUUGCAGUCCCGUCACUAGUGUGAUAAUUAUCUACACUGUGAUGAUUGCUCUCUGACUAGUUCAGCUGCUAAUAGUCCACUUCUGGACAACACUUAAUGAACUUCUUGACCUCAAAUCAGGUAGGACUACCCGCUGAACUUAAGCAUAUCAAUAAGCGGAGGAAAAGAAACUAACAAGGAUUCCCCUAGUAACUGCGAGUGAAGCGGGAAAAGCUCAAAUUUAAAAUCUGGCGGUCUCUGGCCGUCCGAGUUGUAAUCUAGAGAAGUGAUGCCCGCGCUGGACCGUGUACAAGUCUCCUGGAAUGGAGCGUCAUAGAGGGUGAGAAUCCCGUCUCUGACACGGACUACCAGGGCUUUGUGGUAUGCUCUCAAAGAGUCGAGUUGUUUGGGAAUGCAGCUCUAAAUGGGUGGUAAAUUCCAUCUAAAGCUAAAUAUUGGCGAGAGACCGAUAGCGAACAAGUACCGUGAGGGAAAGAUGAAAAGAACUUUGGAAAGAGAGUUAAACAGUACGUGAAAUUGCUGAAAGGGAA
rnacentral:misc_RNA from 1 species